AAAAACUUAGUUUAUAAAAACAUUAAGUUGUCAACUUAAAAUAACUUAAGGGUAGUUUUUU
rnacentral:tRNA from 2 species